CCCCUUUCAAUCGGGGCAACCAGCUUCUAUAUUGGCGGUGCCGGCUUGCCGGCUAUGGCGAUAAAUUGUCAGUGGAAUAAGCCUUUCGGACCCGGGGGCGGUACCCGGCGCCUCCACCCAAGCCCACCCUUUCGGGUGAGUUUCGGCGGGGGCGAAACAGGAUCGACGAGGGUGUAAAGACUGUGCUUUCGCUCGGCAUGGUACCACCGAUAUCGGACCAAAUCUGUAGUUGCCAAUGACAACUAUGCUCAGGACGUCGCUCUCGCCGCGUAAUGCGGUGCGGGUUGUCCACCUAAAGUCCUGACGGGUAGCACCGGCAGGCGGGGUCCGGAGGCACCUGGCAACAGAAGCCUCCACU
rnacentral:tmRNA from 1 species